rnacentral:rRNA from 1 species
GAUGAACGCUGGCGGCGUGCCUAAUACAUGCAAGUCGAGCGAACAGACGAGGAGCUUGCUCCUCUGACGUUAUCGGCGGACGGGUGAGUAACACGUGGAUAACCUACCUCUAAGACUGGGAUAACAUCGGGAAACCGGAGCUAAUACCGGAUAAUAUAUUGAACUGCAUGGUGCCAUAGUGAGAGAAGGUUUUGCUGUCACUUAUAGAUGGACCCGGGCCGCAUUAGCUGGUUGGUAAGGUAACGGCUUAGCAAGGCUACGACGCGUAGCCGACCUGAGAGGGUGGUCGGCCAGACUGGAACAGAGAAACGGUACAGACUCCUACGGGAGGCAGCAGUAGGGAAUCUUCCGCGAAGGGGGAAAGGCGGACGGAGCAAAGCCGCGUGAGUGAUGAAGGUCUUCGGAUGGGAAAGCGCUGUUAUUAGGGAAGAACAAAUGUGUAAGUAACUAUGCAGGUCUUGACGGUACCGAAUCAGAAAGCCACGGCUAACUACGUG